rnacentral:rRNA from 1 species
ACGAACGCUGGCGGCGUGCCUAAUACAUGCAAGUCGAACGAACCGCGACUAAGUGCUUGCACUAAGUCAAGGUGAGUGGCGAACGGGUGAGUAACACGUGGGUAACCUACCUCAUAGUGGGGGAUAACAGUCGGAAACGACUGCUAAUACCGCAUAGGACAUAGGAUCACAUGAUCCAGUGAGGAAAGGUGGCGCAAGCUAUCGCUAAGAGAUGGACCCGCGGUGCAUUAGCUAGUUGGUAGGGUAAAGGCCUACCAAGGCGAUGAUGCAUAGCCGACCUGAGAGGGUGAUCGGCCACAUUGGGACUGAGACACGGCCCAAACUCCUACGGGAGGCAGCAGUAGGGAAUCUUCCGCAAAGGACGCAAGUCUGACGGAGCAACGCCGCGUGAGUGAAGAAGGUCUUCGGAUCGUAAAGCUCUGUUGUUAGAGAAGAACAGCGCAUAGAGUAACUGCUAUGCGUGUGACGGUAUCUAACCAGAAAGCCACGGCUAACUACGUG